rnacentral:rRNA from 1 species
UUCAUUUACGGAGAGUUUGAUCCUGGCUCAGGACGAACGCUGGCGGCGUGCUUAACACAUGCAAGUCGAACGAUGA